UUCCUGCCUCUAAGGAGGCACCGAGAGCUGGAGAUGUCUUCCAGGGAAGGCAGAGGGCAGCCGAUGA